CAGCAGUGGGGGAAUAUUGCACAAUGGGCGCAAGCCUGAUGCAGCCAUGCCGCGUGUAUGAAGAAGGACCUUCGGGUUGUAAAGUACGUUUCAGCAGUGAGGAAGGCGGGUACGGUUAAUAGCGUGCUUGUUUGACGUUAGCUGCAGAAGAAGACACCGGCUAACUCCGUGCCAGCAGCCGCGGUAAUACGGAGGGUGCGAGCGUUAAUCGGAAUUACUGGGCGUAAAGCGCAUGCAGGUGGUUUGUUAAGUCAGAUGUGAAAGGACCCGGGGCGUCAACCUACGGAAAGUUGCAUUUAGUAAACUAGGCAGACUAGAGUACUGUAGAGGGGGGUAGGAAUUUCAGGUGUAGCGGUGAAAUGCGUAGAGAUCUGAAGGAAUACCGGUGGCGAAGGCGGCCCCCUGGACAGAUACUGACACUCAGAUGCGAAAGCGUGGGGAGCAAACAGGAUUAGAUACCCUGGUAG
rnacentral:rRNA from 1 species